AACGCAUCUUGCGCUCCUUGGUAUUCCGAGGAGCAUGCCUGUUUGAGUGUCAUUAAAUUCUCAACUCUCCAAUACUUUUGCGGUAAAGGAGGGCUUGGAUUGUGGGGGUGUGCUGGCCACUUUGUGAGGCCAGCUCCCCUGAAAUGCAUUAGCGGAACCGUUUGCGAUCUGCCACAAGUGUGAUAACUAUCUACACUAGCGAGGGGAUUGCUCUGUGUUGUUCAGCUUCCAAUCGUCUGCAAAGACAAUUUUCUGAAUGCUUGACCUCAAAUCAGGUAGGAUUACCCGCUGAACUUAA
rnacentral:misc_RNA from 1 species